CGCGGUCGCGGUCUCUCUCUCUCUCUCUCUCUCGAGCUCUCUCGCGGAGAAGAAAGAAGCACAGCGACUCCCCCCCGCCGAUCCGAUCUCUCUUUCUCUCUCUAAAAGGCAAAGAAGAAGGAGGCGAAGAUGCGUCUUUCGCUUUCGCUUUCCCACGGCCUCAUUUGAGUUUUUAUAGAAAGGCUUUUUUAGCUUCGUCUUCAUUGACCCUCUCCUCCCUUUAAAAAACCCAACACAAGUCUUCUUCUCCUACUUUCGAGGCUUCGUACCAAAAGGAAAAAAAAAAAAAAAACUUCCCAAUACAAUUCGCCUCUCUUCCCAACGGUCUCCUGCCUCCUCGAGCUUCCCAGUAUCCUCUCGCUGCUAGGGCUUCCCUUCUGCUUCUUCUUCUUCUUCUUCUGCUGCCAAUGGCAUUUUGGUGAGAAGAGAGGGGACAAUGGUGGCGAGGUCCAGGGCAUUCGCGGCCCAGCUCGACUUCCGGUUCGAGCUCGCGCUCCCCCGGAGGAGCGGCAGGCUGGAGCUGGAGCUGGGGACGCGGGCCGGGAGGAGGGGUGCUCGCGCGAAGGGGUUGGCCGAUCGGGCCGCGGCGAGCCGGAUCGGGUGCUGCUGCUCCGACUCGGUGGUCCCGGCGCGGCGGACGGCGGCGUCGGCGGCCGCGGCCGGGAAGGGCGCGGAGAACUGCGACGACUGGCGGUUCGAAUCGAAGAAGAUCGCUCCCACGCCCGUAAUGCCCUUCGCUUCUCCACAGUCUCAUUUCCUCUCCAAGCAAGAGAAGUUUUAUCCAAGAUGUACCCCCAGAAGCUCUGGUCCACAGUCCCGUGAUACACCACCGAAGAGAGACACGGGUAUCGCAAAUGAGAAGGACUGGGGCAUCAACUUGUUAAAUGAAAACAUUAAUGAGACUGGCACUAACGAAGAUGGCAGUACUUGGUACAGAGAGAGCGGGGAAGACAUGGGCGAUAAUGGAUACAGAUGUAGAUGGACAAGGAUGGGCGGUCGAUCUCAUGAUGGUUCUUCAGAAUGGAAAGAAAUGUGGUGGGAGAAAAGCGACUGGAGUGGUUACAAAGAGCUAGGAGUAGAGAAAUCUGGAAAAAAUGCAGAAGGGGAUUCAUGGUGGGAAACAUGGAAUGAAGUUUUGUAUCAAGAUGAAUGGAGCAACCUAGCAAGGAUAGAGAGGAGUGCACAGAAACAAGCAAAGUCAGGCACUGAAAAUGCUGGUUGGUAUGAGAAAUGGUGGGAGAAGUAUGAUGCCAAAGGGUGGACUGAGAAAGGGGCACAUAAGUACGGUAGACUGAAUGAACAGUCAUGGUGGGAAAAGUGGGGAGAGCAUUAUGACGGACGAGGAUCUGUCCUAAAAUGGACAGAUAAAUGGGCAGAGACCGAGUUGGGGACCAAAUGGGGAGACAAGUGGGAAGAGAAAUUUUUUGCUGGCAUAGGUUCGCGUCAAGGGGAGACGUGGCAUGUAUCCCCAGCAGGUGAACCCACAGGUUUCAUGUGUGAAGGGCCUGCGGCCACAUCAACUUUUACGGUUUCUGCCUUUGGUGGACAUACUUGAGAGGGUAAAGCAUGCAACUGUAACCAAGAUGUCCUUGUUGCACAAAAGGUUCAAUGACUUUUAUAGUUUUCUGGACAGCACUAUCAGAAAGAAUAUACGGACACUGAAACUUGUAUACUCAACUUCCCGACAGGAUAUAGCUUAUUUUAAACAGGGCUGGUUUUUCACAAGUGAAAAAAUGGAACAAGCGACCAAAGUGAAUAUUCCCAUCUUCCACUAUUCUGAACAAUAUUCUGCUCUAGUCUUAGAGGCUCUUUUGGUUACACCCCGGAAAUAUAUCUCAAGAGUUAAUCUUCUUGAAUACUUCGUGUGAAGCACUAGCAUGAUGAUAGUACUAUUGUCAGUGAUGGGAAGUUCACUAGUUUGUGCAUCUAAUAGAUUAUCAAAUGCCUAGUGACGCUUCUUGUCUGAAGUAGGAUACUCAGAUUCAUUAUUAGUCCAAAUGCAGAAGGUCUAAUUUGUGUGAAGGUUUCUCUUCUUUCGUACAGGAUGGUCAAGGACAUGGGGGGAGGAACACUUUGGAAAUGGUAAGGUGCACAAGUAUGGGAAGAGCACGACCGGUGAAAGCUGGGAUAUUGUUGUCGACGAGGAAACUUAUUAUGAGGCUGAACCGCACUACGGGUGGGCAGAUGUUGUCG